UGGGCAUCCAUUUUUUGUUAGAUGGUGUCUUGUUGUCUCUCGAAAGCAAUCAAGUACGAAUUCAGAGCUCCAAGAUUCAGGAUACUCUCAAAAAGAGAAAAAAGGAACUCGAGUACUUCCACGAAAGUGAAAGAUCAAACUAAAGUCGAGAUGAACUCGGCUGAAGAAGCAGUCAGUGCUGUUUUAAGACUUGCCCAAGAAAAUG